GGAGGGGUGUCCGAGUGGUUGAUGGUGGCGGUCUUGAAAAUCGCUGUGGCCUUACGGGUCACCGGGGGUUCGAAUCCCUCCCCCUCCGCCA
rnacentral:tRNA from 1 species